UUCAAUAUGGCAGAAUAGUGCAAUGAACUUAAAAUUCAUAUAUAAAUUUAUAGUUUUUUUGAAA
rnacentral:tRNA from 2 species